rnacentral:rRNA from 1 species
GAUGAACGCUGGCGGCGUGCCUAAUACAUGCAAGUCGAGCGAACAGACGAGGAGCUUGCUCCUCUGACGUUAGCGGCGGACGGGUGAGUAACACGUGGAUAACCUACCUAUAAGACUGGGAUAACUUCGGGAAACCGGAGCUAAUACCGGAUAAUAUAUUGAACCGCAUGGUUCAAUAGUGAAAGACGGUUUUGCUGUCACUUAUAGAUGGAUCCGCGCCGCAUUAGCUAGUUGGGAAGGUAACGGCGUACCAAGGCAACGAUGCGUAGCCGACCUGAGAGGGUGAUCGGCCACACUGGAACUGAGCCACGGUCCAGACUCCUACGAGAGGCAGCAGUAGGGAAUCUUCCGCAAUGGGCGAAAGCCUGACGGAGCAACGCCGCGUGAGUGAUGAAGGUCUUCGGAUCGUAAAACUCUGUUAUUAGGGAAGAACAAAUGUGUAAGUAACUAUGCACGUCUUGACGGUACCUAAUCAGAAAGCCACGGCUAACUACGUG